rnacentral:rRNA from 1 species
UCCGAGUAGAGCGGCGCACGGGUGCGUAACACGUGGAUAAUCUGCCCUUGAAUUCGGGAUAACCUUCCGAAAGGUUGGCUAAUACCGGGUAAGCUCACGGUGACUUCGGUCGCUGUGGGAAAAGUAGACCUCUGUUUACAAGUUUACGUUUGAGGAUGAGUCCGCGGCCCAUCAGCUAGUUGGCGGGGUAAUGGCCCACCAAGGCUACGACGGGUAGCUGGUCUGAGAGGACGAUCAGCCACACUGGAACUGAGACACGGUCCAGACUCCUACGGGAGGCAGCAGUGGGGAAUUUUCCACAAUGGGCGAAAGCCUGAUGGAGCAACGCCGCGUGUGUGAUGAAGGUCUUCGGAUCGUAAAGCACUUUCGACCGGGACGAAAAACCUCUGGCUAACAUCCAGGGGCCUGACGGUACCGGGAGAAGAAGCACCGGCUAACUCUGUGCCAGCAGCCGCGGUAAUACAGAGGGUGCAAGCGUUGUUCGGAAUUAUUGGGCGUAAAGCGCGUGUAGGCGGCUUGGCAAGUCAGAUGUGAAAGCCCAUGGCUUAACCAUGGAAGUGCGUCUGAAACUGCUGAGCUUGAGUGCCGGAGAGGAUGGCGGAAUUCCGCAAGUAGAGGUGAAAUUCGUAGAUAUGCGGAGGAACACCGGUGGCGAAGGCGGCCAUCUGGACGGCAACUGACGCUGAGACGCGAAAGCGUGGGGAGCAAACAGGAUUAGAUACCCUGGUAGUCCACGCUGUAAACGAUG